rfam:Gossypium hirsutum cultivar TM-1 unplaced genomic scaffold scaffold1418.1, whole genome shotgun sequence
AAUAGGAGAAUAACAAAUAAGAUUUUUCCUCUUGAUUAUUAGUUUUUUUCUCCUGAAAAAAUUCAAAUCAAACUAAAAAUGCUAAAAAUCAGGAGAAAAAAUCUAAUUUGUUAUUCUCUUAUU